AUUCUUUUAGUAUUACUUAGUACAAUUGACUUCCAAUCAAUUAGCUUCGGUCUUAUCCGAAAAAGAAUA
rnacentral:tRNA from 1 species